rnacentral:lncRNA from 1 species
UUGAAACAAACAUUGCACAACACCUCUUCCUUGAAUCCAUAUCCGUAACCCUCUUAACCGAAUCAAUCCAUAGCAGUAACAAAAUUGACAACAAGUAACAAUAACAUAGAAACAAGAUUCUAAGAACAACCCAUUUGAGAAAUGAACAAGACAAUAAAAGAGAACAUAAAAAUUCAGGAAACUUGAAGAAAUUUUAAAUCUGUUGGAGAGGAAGAAGGCUUUGUUGGGGAUUUUGACAUGUGAAUUAUCUUUCGGGUCAAUACGAAUUGGAUCAAGGUCAAGAGGAGUUGCGGCGACAGUGAGGAAACAGUUCAAGAGAAAGUAAGGUGUGGAUAGCAAAGCAGAAAAAGAACGCGUUCUUGGUAUUGUUAUAUAAAAGGGAAGAUAGGGUUUUGAUCCAUCUUCCACCCAUUCGCUGACAGGGAACUCCCUUUCUUUCUUGUAAUAUUUUUCCUGCUUCUUGUAAUUUUUUUCAUGUUGUUCCUCUUGUAAUUUCUUCUUCGCCUUUCUCAAUCCAUUUUGUUAUCUGUGUUGUUUUCUAUGUUGUUUCCUGUGAUUUUCAAGGUUGAAUGUUGGAUGGUGAAGAAGAAGUCGGUGAAGAGAUGAUGCGGAGGAAGAAGACAGG